CGUCGCUCUUGCUCUGUGGCGCUCCUCUGCCCGAGCCUCCCACGCCACCCACCUGCCCUGCUCUCUUCAGGAGGACAGGAAAUAGAGAGUGGGAAAUGGACAGACUGUAAAGAAAGAACGCGACUUCAGGUGCUGGUUCUUCAAGGCGGCACUAAAACACAACAGUCAAGAACGCCAACGCCUUUCCUGUCCGUAAGGGAGCCUGGGGAGAGAGGCAGCGGAGGUGCUGGGAGGAUUGCACGCCAUCCUGCAGGGGAGGCCGCAGCGCCCUGCAGCCCAGAGCAGCCACCUUUGUGGAUAACAGUAAGCCCCCCCAACAACAGAGGUUUCCAAGAAGAGGUUCAGCAAGCAGUUGGAAGAGGAGACUCAAACUCCAAG